rnacentral:rRNA from 14 species
GCAAUAACAGGUCUGUGAUGCCCUUAGAUGUCCUGAACCGCACGCGUGUUACACUGAUGCAUUCAACGAGCUUAUAACCUUGGCCGAGAGGCCUGGGGAAUCUUGUUAAUGUGCAUCGUGAUAGGGAUAGAUUAUUGCAAUUAUUAAUCUUGAACGAGGAAUUCCUAGUAAACGCAGAUCAUCAAUCUGCAUUGAUUACGUCCCUGCCCUUUGUACACACCGCCCGUCGCACCUACCGAUCGAAGGUAAUGAUGAGCCCUCAGGACAGU